CCCCAAAUUCUCUUAAAUCCCUAAUUGACUCUUACCGAGCCCUAAUUCUGCUUCCAUCGUGACAAUACCCCCUCUAUCAGAGGAUCCUUGUUCCCAAGGAUCGAAACUAGAGAAUUGUGCCUUCAAGAUGGAGUAAUCCUCCCAUAAUGAUGGCUGGAUAUACCUUCAGUUGUUCAUCAGCAAUAAUUUCUGGAGGAUCAAGAGAGGACCAAAAUAUCUAGCAGCAAGCUUUAGAUUCUUUCGCAAAGCAAAUGAUGUCUAUCUGUAAGGCUGAAGUUUAAGUUAAACUUCUUAUCUUUCUUGAAAUUCUCGGAUUCAUUUCAUAGGGAAAGCUACUGGACCUGGGCUGGCAUGUAUUAAAGCCCACUUCUCCUUCAAGGUGUUCACCAUGGCCCCUUGGCUUGUCUCCAGUUGUUAGGCCUCUCCACUGUUAGCUUGUUUCAACCCGGAUCCCUCUGUUGGAAUAAGACCCAUUGACCACCCCUUCUCUUAAUUUCCAAUUUACCCGUGUAUCUCAAUCUUUAAAUUCUCCCAAAUCCCUAAUUGCCUCUUCUCGAGCGCUAAUUCUACA